GACGAACGCUGGCGGCGUGCUUAACACAUGCAAGUCGAACGGAAAGGCCCUGCUUUUGUGGGGUGCUCGAGUGGCGAACGGGUGAGUAACACGUGAGUAACCUGCCCUUGACUUUGGGAUAACUUCAGGAAACUGGGGCUAAUACCGGAUAGGAGCUCCUGCUGCAUGGUGGGGGUUGGAACGUUUCGGCGGUUGGGGAUGGACUCGCGGCUUAUCAGCUUGUUGGUGGGGUAGUGGCUUACCAAGGCUUUGACGGGUAGCCGGCCUGAGAGGGUGACCGGCCACAUUGGGACUGAGAGACGGCCCAGACUCCUACGGGAGGCAGAAGUGGGGAAUAUUGCACAAUGGGCGGAAGCCUGAUGCAGCAACGCCGCGUGCGGGAUGACGGCCUUCGGGUUGUAAACCGCUUUCGCCUGUGACGAAGCGUGAGUGACGGUAAUGGGUAAAGAAGCACCGGCUAACUACGUG
rnacentral:rRNA from 1 species